rnacentral:rRNA from 1 species
UUUGGUGUCCUAGGCAUAGAGGAACCACACCAAUCUAUCUCAAACUCGGUAGUUAAACUUCACUGUGGUGAAGAUACUAUAGGAGAGUUCCUACGGAAAAAUAGCUUAACGCCAAGA